rnacentral:rRNA from 1 species
GACGAACGCUGGCGGCGUGCUUAACACAUGCAAGUCGAACGGAAAGGCCUGCUUUCCCUUGUGGAUUGCGGGUACUCGAGUGGCGAACGGGUGAGUAACACGUGAGUGAUCUGCCCCCAACUUGGGUAUAAGCCUGGGAAACUGGGUCUAAUUCCCGAUAGGACUGCAGGGUGGUGCCUGUGGUGGAAAACGAUUUUCUAGUGGUUGGGGAUGAGCUCGCGGCCUAUCAGCUUGUUGGUGGGGUAAUGGCCUACCAAGGCGGCGACGGGUAGCCGGCCUGAGAGGGUGGACGGCCACAUUGGGACUGAGAUACGGCCCAGACUCCUACGGGGGGCAGCAGUGGGGAAUAUUGCACAAUGGGCGGAAGCCUGAUGCAGCGACGCCGCGUGGGGGAUGACGGCCUUCGGGUUGUAAACUCCUUUCGACCGCGAGGAAGCCACCUGGUUGGAAGGGUGGUGACGGUAGUGGUAGAAGAAGCACCGGCUAACUACGUG